rnacentral:rRNA from 1 species
UACGUAGGUGGCAAGCGUUGUCCGGAAUUAUUGGGCGUAAAGCGCGCGCAGGCGGUCCUUUAAGUCUGAUGUGAAAGCCCACGGCUCAACCGUGGAGGGUCAUUGGAAACUGGGGGACUUGAGUGCAGAAGAGGAAAGCGGGAUUCCACGUGUAGCGGUGAAAUGCGUAGAGAUGUGGAGGAACACCAGUGGCGAAGGCGGCUUUCUGGUCUGUAACUGACGCUGAGGCGCGAAAGCGUGGGGAGCAAACAGG